CUCGCCAGAUGCUGAAUGCGGAUGCCGUCAUCUUGGACUUCCUAGCUUCCAGAACGCUUGCAUCUAUAUGUGGCUCAGUGUCCAGGCUGCCUGACAUCCCAGGACAAUGCUGCACUGAUUUACUCUCUACAGCUCCAUGGUAAGUGAUAUGGUUAGGCUAUGUGUCACCACCCAAAUCUCAUCUUGAAUUAUAAUCCCCAUAAUCCCCAUGUGUCAAGGGAGAGACAAGAUGGAGGUAAUUGGCUCAUGGGGGCAGUUUCUCCCAAGCUGUUGUCAUGAUAUUCAAUGAGUUCUCAUGAAAUCUGAUGGUUUUUGUAAGUGUUUGGUAGUUCCUCCUGCAUUCAUUCUCCUUCCUGCUGUCUUGUGAAGAAGGUGCCUUGCUUCCCCUUCACCCUCUGCCAUGAUUGUAAGUUUCCUGAGGCUUCCUCAGACAUGCUGAACUGUGAGUUAAUUAAACCAUUUUCCUUUAUAAAUUACCCAGUCUCUGGCAGUCUUUAUACCAGUGUGAAAAUGAACUAACACAGUAAGCUUUGCUAUCUAAUAAGAAAAAUUUUGUUCCCCAUCCCAGCUUUCUCCCUUACCACACAUAUGGCCACUUCCUUUAAAUUUGUCUGGGAAUUUUUUCACUCUUUACUCUUACAUAUGGCUUUAGGAUCAGCUUGUCCAAUUCUGAAAAAAGUCUUGUUAGGACUUUUAUUAGACUAACAAUGAAAGUGCAGAAGUGAUAUGUCUUCUUUAUAAUAUUAAAUCUUCCUGCCAAUGAACUGGUUUUUAUAUAUCUUUCUAAAUAUUUCAGUAAAGUUUUUUUUUUUAAAUUUUGUUGUAUCUGCAAAUGUCUGUUACAAAUAUCAAGUUUAGUGUUUUUUAAAAUUACAUUUUAUAAUUAAUAGUUCCUAGGAAAUAAGAACAGUAUUCAUUUUUAUAUUGAUCUAUGCAGUCACCAUUAGAACUGUCCUAUUUCUCAGUAGCUUUUCUGUAGCUCCACUGGAAAUUUUUGUGUCAACAAAAUUUUGUCUAUAAUAACAGCAAAAUAAAAUAACAGCAAUUUUGUUUCUGUCUUUUUAAGUCUUAUACAUUUUAUUUAUUUUUCUUAUUUUACUGCACUGAUUUAAAAUCUUUUUUUUUCAAUGUUGAAUAGAAGCAGUGAUGAAAGCAAGGAAAAUUUUAUUCCUAACUUCAGAGGGAAUAUAUGCAAUGUUGCACUCUUCAGGUAUGAUAUUUCUGUACAUUUUAGCAGAGACUCUUCAUCAGGUAAUGCUGUUCUUUUCUAUUUUUAGAUUGCUGUUCUUUUAAUGAAUGGAUGUUGAAUUUUGGGGAAAAAAACAACUUUUUUUUUUUCCUUUUACAUUUGAGAUGCAGAGCAGUAGCGUCCUUAGAGAAUAAACUCUGGAGUCAAUGCCUGGACCUUAAUGAACAGUGGAUGACAUGUUAUUUUCUUUUUUCUUCUUUUAACUUUUAUUUUAAGCUCAGGGGUACAAGUGCAGGUUUUUUACAUAGGUAAAGUUGUGUCAUGGGGGUUUGUUGUACAGAUUAUUUUGUCACCCAGGUAUUAAGCCUGGUACUCAUUGUUUUUCCUCAUCCUCUCCCUCCUCCCAUCCUCUACCCUCCAACAAGCCCCAGUGUGUGUUGUUCCCCUCUAUGUGUACAUGAGUUCUCAUCAUUUGGUUCCCACUUGUAAGUGAGAACAUGCAGUGUUUGGUUUUCUGUUCCUAUAUUAGUUUGCUAAGGAUAAUGGCCUCCAGCUCCACCUAUGUUCCUGCAAAGGACAUGAUCUCAUUUUUUAUGGCUUCAUAGUAUUCCAUGAUGUAUAUGUACCACAUUUCCUUUAUCCAUUCUGUCAUUGAUGGGCAUUUAGGUUGAUUUCAUGACUUUGUUGUUAUGAAUAGUGCUGCAAUGAACAUACACAUGCAUGUGUCUUUAUGAUAGAACAAUUUACAUUCUUUGGGGUAUAUACCCAGCAAUGGGAUUGCUGGGUCAAAUGUUAUUGCUGACAUUAGGUCUUUGAGGAAGUGCCACACGGUUUUCCACUAUGGUUAAACUAAUUUACACUCACACCAACAGUGUAUAUGUGUUCCUGACAGAUUCUUUUCAAGGGCAUGCAGUUCUCACACUUGUUGGUGUCAGCACUUCUUACAGUCUUAAGAUUGAAGAUUACAAAGAGCUUUUGUUCUUGUGGAUUAUGUAUCUAUCAAUGUUUAUCAUGUUACAAAUUAAAGCUGAUAUUGUAAAAUAUUGAUUCAUUUUAAUACAACAAUAAUAAACUCAAUCCAUGUUAAGUAACAUAUUUUUGUAUGAAAAGUAUCAUAUUCUCCAGAACAAAAUGAAAUGGAGUCUGUCUGUUGAGUGACAUAUUAAACUCAUCCCACCUAUCUUCAAGCCUAAUACUACUUCUUACCUUCCAGCCUUCAAGCGAUUGUAAUCGUAUGUUAUACUUCCACCUAUGUUAUAAACCACACAAUAUAUUAUUAUUUUUGCUUUAAGCAGUAAUUUUUAAAAAUAAUUUGUAAAAAUAACAAAAAGCUAUUUAAAUAUAGCUACAUAUAUGCAAGCCCAAAUCUGACUUCAAGCUUUGAUGUGGGGGGAACUUUUUAGCUUAUUUAUUCACUUAUGCAUUAGUCAUGAUUGCUGCAUCUGCAGAAACUCACGUGAAAAUAAUGUGCUAAAUUGUCAAAUGUUUGGGGUGGCUUCUACUGUUGGACCAUACACAACCUUCACAUUUCAGAUAUUCUUACUUUAGGGACUAUUGAGCAAGCAGAGAAGAAAGCCUUACUAUGCACUGUUUUUAUUAAUUCUCUUCCAAUUGCUUUCUUUUCCUGCCCUUCCAGUUGUAGUUAAACAGCGGGGAGAACAGAGUUGUCCUGCUGGGGCAGUGGUUCACAGCUCCAUGGGGCCCCUAGGUGUGUGCGACUUACUAUCAUUGUCCAGCAUUCUCUCUCUGCCUCAGGUCCUGCACCCUAAGCCUGGCCAAAGCUGGAAGCAGGUGAAAGGAGAGUUGAGGUGGUCAAAAGAAGCAUAGAGAUGCCCUACUUCCACCUCCCUGGCAUCUUCAGUCCGUAGGACUGAGGGCACUUCCAAACAGCCUGCCUUUCCCAGAGUCCUCUCUCCUUGUCCAUCAGAACAAUCAGCAGAACAGAGAUCUUGGAAGCAUAAUGAUAUACUUUUUCUUCCUCUUUCCCUCUUCCCUCCCUCCUCACCUUCCUCCCUCCCAUCCCUUCCCUUUCUUUCCGUCCCCUCCUCUCCCCUUUCUUUUCCCUUCCCUUUCUUUUCUCCCUUUCUUCUUCUUCUUUUUUUUUUUUUUUUUUUAAGACAGAGUCUCGCCCUGUCACCCAGGCUGGAGUGCAGUGGCACGAUCUUGGCUAUUGCAGCCUCUGCCUCCUGGUUUCAAGCGAUUCUCCUGCCUCAGCCUCCCGCAUAGCUGGAAUUACGAGUGUGCACCACCAUGCCCAGCUAAUUUUUGUAUUUUUAGUAGAGACAGUAGAUGUUGGCCAGGCUGGUCUUGAACUACUGACCACAAGUGAUCUGCCUGUCUCCACCUUGCAAAGUGCUGGGAUUACAGGCAUGAGCCACAGCACCUGGCCCCUUCUUUCUUUCCUUCCUUCCUUCCUUCCUUCCUUCCUUCCUUCCUUCCUUCUUCUUCUCUUCUCUCUCUCUCUUUCAUUCUUUCUUUUUUCUUUCUUUCUCCCUCCCUCCCUCUCUCCCUUCCUUUCUUCCUCUCAAUGAACAUAGUAUUUUGAAUACUAUAGUAGACUAAAUAGUGCCCCCCCCACCAAAGGUCCAUGUUGUAAUACCUGGAACCUGUGAAUAUGUUACCUUACAUGGCAAAGGGCACUUACUUUGCAGAUAUGAUAAAGAGGGACUCAGAAGGUGUCAGAGUCAAGGAAGACAAUAUGACAACAAGCCAAGAGGGGUUUGAAGAUGCUACUUUGCUGGCUUUGAAAGGGGCCAGAGCCAGAGAAUCCAAGGAAUGCAGCUCUAGCAGCUGGAAAGGCCACAGUUCUCCCCUAGAGCCUCUGGAGGGAGCGCAGCCCUGCCAGCACCCAACAGGAAACUAAUUUGAGCACCAAGCACUGUAUCUGAUAUAACCAAAGCUUCAAAGGAGGGUGCAGGCCCAGGAGUCGUGUGGCCACUGCCAGGAGAGCUAAAGCCAUAAGACUCUUGGCCACCUCGCUUCCUGCCUCUCUCAGUUGAUUCCCUGUGACUCUAUCCCUGCAUGGAGGAGAGACAAGUGAAAAUGAAAGACAGAUGAAUGUGUCAAGUUGAGAGCUCUUUACAUGAUGAAGGUGUUUCUGCUUCAUUGCAUGAAACAGAACAUAGAGCGGUGAUAAAACCCAGCCAGAUCCUUUGGGUUGACUUCCAACCGCAGGUGGUGGUUACUCAUUAGGAAAGAGCGAACACUGUAAUGACUUCAAAACUAAGGAGUGCAAAGCCAAAUAUUCACUAAUAAUCACUCAUCAAGGAGAACAGAUGGCACACGUUGAACACUCCUGAAAAUGAAAGCCCUUGGCUGCAGGGGUGAAUGUCCAGGACCCACAGAAAAUAUCAAGUCAGAUACCUCUUGAAGCACUGAUGGGAAGGUGCAGCUGGACUCCCUGGAACUCUGAAGCUGAGGUCAGAGAUGACUCUGCUUCUGUCCAACUCCUUAAUCACAUUUCUACAAGGCACUAAGCAUCUCCAUUUUUCUGUCUGUAGAAUAGGUAUCUUGGUUGCCAUACACCAACUUUUCUGAUGUUUUAAUUAAAACUAGGAAAACUGUCUUUUAGGAUUGGGCUGCUAGCAAUACGGAAAGGAGCACAAAUUUCUGGGUAAUGGAGAGAAAAUCUAUUCUAGUUCAAGUAUUUGGAGUUCCUAUAAAUCUUACUCUAUAUACAAUUGUUGCUUGAGAAAUAGUAUUACCAAUAGACCGCAAACAAUAUGCUUUUUAAUCAACUGUGUCUCAUCUGAGCUGUGAUACAUCUUUGGCCUUAUGAAAAGAGAAUGUUUAUUUAAUAAGAGCAGCUGCUGUAAUUUUUCAAAAUCAUACCUUUUUCUGAAAUUAUUCCCCUGCUCACAAAUGGUAGUGACUUUUGUGAAAGAGUUUAUUUUGAUUAUUCUAUUAGCUGGAUCAGUAAUCAGAAAACUUGCUUUGAGGGAAUUGUUUCCAGAUCAUGUCAUAUCACACAGGGACCCCUUGGGAGUCAUCUACAUAAGCUUUCUAAAACCUAACUUUUAAACAGCAGCAACAGUCAAACACAGUGGAUGUGGCGGGACCAUUCUCUUAUGAUAAGGUUUUGUACUUCUAAAAUAGGUUUCCUACUCAAAGUUCGGACCAUAAUUAAUCAGUCCUGGUUGGAGACUUAUACCAAAACUGCAAUAUAUGUGUGUUUUAAGCAUGAUUUAAACAUAACUUUUCUUUUCUUUUUUUAGAGACAGAGUCUCGCUCUGUUUCCCAGGCUGGAGCGCAGUGGCAUGAUCACAGCUCACGGCAGCCUUGACCUCCUGGGCUCAAGCAAUCUUCCCACCUUAGCCUUCUGAGUAGCUGGGACCACAGGCACAUGCCACCAAGCCUGGCUAAUUUUUUUAUUUUUUUGUAGAUGAAGGGUCUUGCUAUGUUGACCAGGCUGGUCUUGAACUCCUGGGCUCAAGCGAUCCUCCCACUUCAGCCUCCCAAAGUGCUGGGACUACAGACGUGAGCCACUGCACCCGGCCUAAACAUAGUUUUCCAAGCACACUAUGGUCAUUAUCUUUAAUUUAUGGGAGAAUUAAAGAGUUGAAAUGACUCUUCACUCUUUUGAAGUGGUAGCAACUAAAAAACAUAGUAGUUUUUUAGUUUUGGCAGUAGUUAUGGCAGAGAGAUUGGAACCACUGGAUGCUGGACUUCCAGGGCAUGAUGGCUCACUCGAUAGAGACAGAGCACUACGGAAGGGAGCCCCAUUCCCAAGCAUGGUGUCCAAUACACUGAAAGAAUAACUGGGCUCAGUAAUGCACCUAGAGACUCAGAUUCCAGACCUGCCCACUUGCUUUACUAUCCAAAACAACCAUGACACAUGACUUCUCUGGCGGGGUGUUGGCCAAGACAAACUGAACUAUAGAAGAUCCUUGACUUGCCAACGUUCAAAUGAUGAACUUUCAAAAAUAGCGAAACUGGCUGCAGAGCAAAAGCUUUUCAGCUCUGCACAACACCAACAGAUGGCGCUAAGUGUCACCCUUGUGGAGAGCAGAGGGACCUCGGAAGGGCCUUUGGAAAUCUAAUCUGGUUUUGAGUUCUUGGUGGGAAAAUGCACCUUUAAGUUGGGGGAGUUUGAAGACGUUGCCAAGACACGUGCUGCAGCAUUUGAUCUUUUCUGCCGCACUGGCUUCUGCAAUUAACAUGCUUUCACCAGUGAAACUCAGGUUGCGGGGAGAGCAUUCUUCCAGGUUCAUGCCUGUUGUCAUGGAGUAAUUAUAAUUCAUGUCUCCGUUCACAGUGUCCUGGUUUGUAGAAUAAAAUAUCUGGUCCACCCACCCAGUGGGAUCUUUGAGAAUCCAUUCAUUUUAGAGUCAGCAUCUGUGGCUGGUUCCAAGACUGUAAUUUGCUUCCUUGGCAAAUGCCACACUACAUCAAAAGGGGGCAAAAGAGUAUGAUUGCUCUAUUUUUACUUAGAAUCCAAGUGGUAAUUUAUGGAAUACAGGGGUUCUCAACCUCAGCACUAUUGACGUUGGAGCUGGAUAAUUCUUUGGUGGUUGUGGGGGAGGGGCGAGGGCGGGAGUCCUGUGCUUUGCAAGAUGUUUAGCAGCACCUCUGGCCUCCACUUGCUAGAUGCCAGCAACACCUCCCCACUCUCUCCCAAUUUGUGACAACCAAAUACGUUUCCAGACAUUGU
rnacentral:lncRNA from 10 species